AGAGGGAGAAGGGCAAGGGCGCAGGGCGGGUCACAUGGAGCGGAAGCUUCCAGAUACCGCUCCAAGCCAGCACAGCAAGCUUCUGUCCCUGCGCCCUGCCCCAGCUCACCUGGCUGGGGCGUCACAGCCUGACCGGCACGUGGGUGUCCAGUCAGCGGCAGGGCAGGUGCUGCGCCCCAAGGUGGGCUUCUGUGACAGGCGGGGGCCGUGCACAGGGCCGUGUGCUUUGUGCUGUGGGUCCUGGAUUUUAAUGCUUCCCGCCACCCCAUGCCCACAUGAAAAUGCCAUAGCAAGUGUGAGACGGUACGUGGGUCCGCAAAGCCAAAUGGGCAGCGUGUCUUGGGGGCUGUAGUGCGGCACGUGGAGUGGUGGACCCUGGCAGGCCGUCCACGUCCCGAUCUCCGGCCCCUGUGACGCAGACCGUGUUUGGAAAUAGAGUCUUUGCGGAUGUGUAAUUCAUUAAGAGGAGUUCGUACUUGGCCCCUGAUCCAGCAUGACGAGUGUCUUUGUAAAAAGGGGAAAUUUAGACACAGACAAGCAUCGAGGGAAGAUGGUGUGAGAGACACAGGCUGAAGACGGCUGUCGAGAGGCCAAGAACAGAGGUCUGGACCAGAUCCUCAGUCUCAGCCUCGAAGGAACCAGUCCUACUUGAUCAACAGCGUCCAGCCUCCAGAACUGGGAGAGAGCACAGCACUGAGUUCCUUUCCCUGCAUCAUAUGCAGGAGUUUCCAGCAUCUCAACCCUGUUUAAACACGGGGCCACUGCGUCCAGCCUCCAGACCCUCAACUGCCCAGGCAGACUCAGGUGACCCAGAUCGCCGAGUGCCCCUUGGGAUUGGUCUGCUCUCUCAGAAUCCAUCCUGAACACAUUCUACAGUUCUACUGACAGACACUCAGCUUCCUGCAGUUCUCCUGGUGGCCAAGCCUUCACAUCCGGGUGUGACUGGGUGUUGGGACCUCACUGUCCCAGGUCUCAGUGGAUGGGGCUGGGCCAGGAGGUUUGGGGGCAAACUGACUUUUCUCCUACAAAGUAACCUCUCCAAGGAUGUCAUGACUGGGUCUUCAAGUAUGGGGACAACACUGUCUAAUGAGGGGAAAAGGGCUGUGGAGGGUGACGGGGCUCCUGGAGAAUAGGGCUUGGUGUCACCUGGGCUGCCCCACCCCCCACCCACCUUCUCUGGGCCCCAGCCGGAGGCCACAGGUUCACCUUCCGUGUCUCUUUCGGAACAAUCCAAAUCUGCCGUGUGUGACUCCGGACUCAGUUUAAUGGCUAUGAGAGAGGAGACGGGCCGCCACAGGCAGGUUCCUGCCUCCCCGAGAUGAGCAGUCAGGGGCUUGAGCUCAUCUCUGUCCUCCAGGUGGUCUGGCUUCCUUCAAAGGCCCCA
ensembl:lncRNA